CCCAAACCGACACAGGUGGUCAGGUAGAGAAUACCAAGGCGCUUGAGAGAACUCGGGUGAAGGAACUAGGCAAAAUGGUGCCGUAACUUCGGGAGAAGGCACGCUGACACGUAGGUGAAGUGAUUUACUCAUGGAGCUGAAGUCAGUCGAAGAUACCAGCUGGCUGCAACUGUUUAUUAAAAACACAGCACUGUGCAAACACGAAAGUGGACGUAUACGGUGUGACGCCUGCCCGGUGCCGGAAGGUUAAUUGAUGGGGUCAGCGCAAGCGAAGCUCCUGAUCGAAGCCCCGGUAAACGGCGGCCGUAACUAUAACGGUCCUAAGGUAGCGAAAUUCCUUGUCGGGUAAGUUCCGACCUGCACGAAUGGCGUAAUGAUGGCCAGGCUGUCUCCACCCGAGACUCAGUGAAAUUGAACUCGCUGUGAAGAUGCAGUGUACCCGCGGCAAGACGGAAAGACCCCGUGAACCUUUACUAUAGCUUGACACUGAACAUUGAGCCUUGAUGUGUAGGAUAGGUGGGAGGCUUUGAAGUGUGGACGCCAGUCUGCAUGGAGCCGACCUUGAAAUACCACCCUUUAAUGUUUGAUGUUCUAACGUGGACCCGUGAUCCGGGUUGCGGACAGUGUCUGGUGGGUAGUUUGACUGGGGCGGUCUCCUCCUAAAGAGUAACGGAGGAGCACGAAGGUUGGCUAAUCCUGGUCGGACAUCAGGAGGUUAGUGCAAUGGCAUAAGCCAGCUUGACUGCGAGCGUGACGGCGCGAGCAGGUGCGAAAGCAGGUCAUAGUGAUCCGGUGGUUCUGAAUGGAAGGGCCAUCGCUCAACGGAUAAAAGGUACUCCGGGGAUAACAGGCUGAUACCGCCCAAGAGUUCAUAUCGACGGCGGUGUUUGGCACCUCGAUGUCGGCUCAUCACAUCCUGGGGCUGAAGUAGGUCCCAAGGGUAUGGCUGUUCGCCAUUUAAAGUGGUACGCGAGCUGGGUUUAGAACGUCGUGAGACAGUUCGGUCCCUAUCUGCCGUGGGCGCUGGAGAACUGAGGGGGGCUGCUCCUAGUACGAGAGGACCGGAGUGGACGCAUCACUGGUGUUCGGGUUGUCAUGCCAAUGGCACUGCCCGGUAGCUAAAUGCGGAAGAGAUAAGUGCUGAAAGCAUCUAAGCACGAAACUUGCCCCGAGAUGAGUUCUCCCUGAGACUUUAAGUCUCCUGAAGGAACGUUGAAGACGACGACGUUGAUAGGCCGGGUGUGUAAGCGCAGCGAUGCGUUGAGCUAACCGGUACUAAUGAACCGUGAGGCUUAACCUUACA
rnacentral:rRNA from 1 species